rnacentral:lncRNA from 1 species
GAUCGAUUUUCCCGUGUUUUUUUUGUGCAGCCGUGCUCCCCUUUCCCCUGCGCCAGAGCUUGGCCCUGAUGUGCGCCGCUCCCCUACGGCCUACCCACCGCCUGCCCUCCCAAGCUGCCGUGCGCAUCCAUUUCCGACGCGCUGGGCGCCAUGCCUCUUUCCCUCUGCGUGCCGCUUCCGUGCGCUGCAAAUCGACUCGCGCCGCCGCGACCGAUGCUCUCCUAGCCACCAAUGCUUCAGAAACGGCCCCACGUCCAAGCAUUCAUCUAUUGCUCUGUAAAUGCGGCACAAAAACUGUUCGGGUGAAUUGAGACGCCACCAUCUUCAUCCUUUAAACCCCUGUCCGUACCGCUGCUCAAGUUGCCCUCUCUGGCACCACCUUUGCUCUGGCAGGUCUACUCUCCUACCCUUUGUUUGCCCUUUUUUUCUUCUCAGUCUCUUAUGUAUGUGUCCUGACUACAAGCUAUUUGAUGUUUUGCCGGCCCAGAGUUUGCUUCGGUUCUCUGUGUUGCUUGCUGAAAUUUGGAGGUGGCUGUCAUCGGUACAAAGGGCCCAUGAUUUGAUUCGAUUUUGCACGACGGAAAGCUAGACCUGCUUGCAUCAGUACACAAGGCUAUCACCUCUAAUUUUUGUUCCUUCUCUUGCUGCUGUUACUGUUGUACCAUCUCUGAUUACAUUGGAUUUCAGGAAAUUUGGAGGCAAUUGAUUUCACUACUAUUGCUGCAGAAUUGGUUGGGCAAGAUGCCAUCCAUGUUUCUCAAAAUAUGAAAAUAGAUGCUGCAGAACAUGUGGCCGCCCUUGAUAAUGACGUUCGUGAAACCAAAUUAUUCCAUAUAGGAAUGAAGGUUGAUUCAACAUUCAGGUUUCACGUAAUAAAGAGCUUACUAAGCAAGAUGCAUUCAUGCAAAGGUCAUAUUAAGUACAUUGUUUUCACCUUAUGUAUAAAGGCAAGGCAAUGUUGCAGCUACAAAACGUCAUAUUUAGUCAUGGUCUAACCAUUUUGCUUGAUAAAUUAACCAAUUGUUUACAUGGCGCAGUGAAAAUGAACUUACAGAUGGAACAAAGCAAGUUCAGGAUGUCAAACAGAAUAAGCAUGAGUAUGUGCAUGUUCUCAUAUCUCAAACUGAAUAUGGCAACCACAAUUCUCACUUUUUAUCCUCAAUAGCAUUGCACCUUAUUACAGGAAAAUUGAAAUCGUUAAUUUCUAAGUUGUUGUCACUGCAAGUCUGUAACUGCAGUACAUAAUCAAGAGUUUUUCCUCUAUCCCUUUUCUGACUUCUUUUUCAAAACAUGCAGGACAUAAUCGACCAUGCAGGAAGCAACAUCAGGAGUACCUAAGAUUAGUUAUAGUGUUGCUUGAGUCAAAAUUACAGGUCACCAUUGACCACCUCUAAUUGUAAUCAAUCAGACCUCUUAUUAAUAUUGUUUGAUGUCGGUCCAGUGCAUGUAUAUGCAUCUAUCGCAGUGAAUAAAACAUCUGCACUUUCUUCUCAGCUUUGCCGACUACUUCAAGUUCACUUAAGAUCUGUAUGCUGACCACUUCGGGCACAAGGCACAGCCACAUAAACCUAUGACAAUUCAAUGCUCAGAAACUCCUGUAAUAAAAACUUUUAGUAACAUUCAUUUAGGAGGUGCUGUAAUGUACCAUAAAAAGUUUUUAAAAAACGUUGUCAACGAUCUAUAGAUCAACAACACUGGUAUUACAUUCCUUCAAUAUCAAAGUAAAAAUACCACUUCCAUGCCACAGUCUUCACAAUCUCUGAAACAUGGAAUGACACCAAGGUAAAACCAGGUAUUACUCAGUUCAUCAUAAAAUUCUAUUUGACUUCCAUGCAACUAGUCUUGAUCAUAUACAGUUUUUUCAUCCAGCAUGCAAACGAGGAACAUAGAGUAUAUACUCUCUCACCUUCAACUCAUCCACAAAGAGAGGCUUGCAACAUGUAUGAUGAGGCGAUCCAAGAACUCAAUGAUUCUAUGAAACAGCCGAUGCAUAUAACUUUGAAAGAAGGAGCCAAGACAGAGUUUCAUGUGCAGACAUCACAAGAAUUCUUACAUCUGAUUGGCAUUUCUUCACAAUUGAAUACAUCAAAAAUGGAAAAAGACAUGUAACAGUCAUCCUUCCUGACGACAAAAAAUAGCAAAUCUUAUCAUAGUUUUCAAUAAAUAAAAAUAUAUGUCGAUUGGAUUAUAUUUAGCAUUUUUACAAUGUAUUUCCUCUUUUAUACAUCGCUACAAAAUCCCGCCGCAACGCGUGGGUAUUAUCUAGUUACUUAAAAGUGCUAGUAAAUUGAGUUCCUUGCUUGAUCGUGCUACUAAAAGAAUUAAGAAAUAUGACUUGAAAAUUGCAUCCUUGAAUUCUGAAAUUACUAAACUUAAGUCUUGUGAUUCUAUAUAUUCUGAGCUUACCUCUUUGCGUUCUAUUCAUGAUGAUACCCUUGAUAAGCUUAGAAUUGCAUUAGAAAAUAAUGAGAAACCUAUUGUGCAUAAACGUAAACAAAUUAAUGAUGCUAGCAUGGAUAGUUCUGAUUUGAUAGAUUCUACUUCUUGUAAUAAUUGUCAUAUUCUUGAAUUGAAGUUGAAAGAUGCAAAUGCUAGGGUUUCCGAUGUUGAACAUACUUUACAUAUCAAUGAGGUUUCUUUGUGCGCUAAUUGUAGUGGUGGAAAACAAAUCAUGGAUGAUGCUUGUGAUAAUUGUAUUGCUCAGUCUCAUCAAGUUAAUUAUCUACAAGCAUCUUUACAAAAUUUUUCUAGUGGGCACAAAAAUCUGAAUAUGAUCUUAGAUAAGUCUAAAGGGAGUAAAAGUAAGAUCGGACUUGGUUUUAAUACACAUGCUCAUUUUAAGGCUAAUCUACCCACUAUUGUUAAGUCACUUGGGAAUGAAUUUUUUGAAACAUCUAACAAGCCAAUCAAUGUGAUUUUUAAAUCUGCCGUCAUCAUGUCUAAUGAUACUUCAACAAGUGCAAAUGUAGGUCAUACAUCACAUGCUAAACCUGAAAGUAGGUACACUUCCACUUAUUGUAAUAAACCUGGACAUGGUGUAGGUUCUUGUUUUGGACUAGCUAGAGUAAUUAAAAAGAAAGAAAACAAGCACAUUAUUGUAAUUCCUUCAAGGCACAUUAUGCUCAUGAUAAAACUAUUACUCCCCGUUAUGUGCCUAGGGUGAAUGUUUCACCUUCGGUUUCAACUUGCACGAGACUGAAGCGACCGCACCCAUAAAAGGGUUCAAUCUCUGUGCUUAAGUGCUAGUCUCUGGAUCGACUCACUAGCACACACAGUUUCAAGAUGUAAUAUCAUAGAACAAAGGUCUUAAAAUAUUACAACGCAAUAUCCAGAAUUUAAGAGUGCUUACAGACUCGCAUAACCACAUGGGUUAGCUGAAAAUAAACGAAAAGUUCUAUAGCGGAAAACGAAGAUACAAGAGCCACAUCAACACCACAGUGGUAGCAUGUUGGAAUGUAGGCUCGUAACCCAAAGACCAAAACGUACCCUCACUCUUUGUCAGAACUUCCUGCAUCAUUAAACGAUGCAGCCAUCAGGGUCAAUACAUUGAAUGUAUUGGAAAGAUCACAAUUUAUAUAACAACACCUACCAAGUACAUGCAUAUUUAUGGCAAGGUGGAGUUCAGGCUAUUUGCGUAAAAGCUUCAUUAUUUAGUCUAUCAUUUUAACAAAAUAGUUUUAUCACUAUUGGACAUUAGGUAGACACACCAAUGCUCCUAUUAAACUAUGGACAUUCAGUAGACACAUCAAUGCUCCUAUCCCAAGUUCAAACCAUUCAUUUUAUUAAGAACUUAGAGUGAGACUUUCCUUACAGCUCUCGAGAGGUUGACACGGCUAUCCCAAUGUCCAUGACCGGGGACACGACUAAGUACUUAGUUUGACACUCUCGAGAGGUUGUACACUUUACCCACAAGAAAUCGACGUGUUAAUCCCUUGUUGUCCUCAGGGUAGAGUAGCAAUGGCAUCAUUCCGAGGGACCCGCUCCCACCUACACGGCUACAUCAUCACGAUCACCUCGGGCCCAGGUUCAUACAGCUUACUCAAUCUUGGCAGAGCCCAUAUUACCAUGUGGUUGUACUGGAAGCUACUAAACAGGAAACUAGUCCAGUCUCUGGUUACCCCGGGUGGCAUUUCACAUUUGCGACGCAGGCGCUCCCAUAGACAUGGCGAGACGACUCAUAGAAAUGGACCCAUAGACAUGGACCUGACGCCGCAUAACAUCCAAAAUCUCAAAGCCGCCCACCCAUGAUGGUUCAUUAAAAUUAAGUUGUUUUGCCAUACACUAAGUAAAACACAACAUUUCUCCAUAACCAUAAUAUUAUCAUGAUGUAGUAAAUUCCCCCACACUACUACCAUAGCAUAGCACUCAACUGCAGACGAUGGCAAUUUGUGAUAGCCUCGAGGGUGUCCCGAUCUUUCGAUGAGAUACCUAAUUAUCGAUUUGGUAGGAGGUGACGUUGACGAUCCGACUACAACCUAGGAGGCAGCACCUUAGCGAUCGAUACACCAACUCCAGAAGGUUAUUGAUCCCGCGGGGGCACGAUCAACCUGACCACGAAGGUCUUUGUUCCUGCAAGCAAUCGAAGAACAAGCAAGAACAAGAUGAAAAGCAAUCUGAAAUUGCGAAUAGGAGAUAUGAAGGUUCACGAAUCUGAAUACUCAAUAUAGUUGGAGUCUUGAUGACGGUAAAACAGGUGGUCUAACCGACACACGCGAUUACACGAAAGUAGCAAAGGCUAAACUUUAUCUAAUCAAAACCCAAGGCUCCUUAGGGGGGCUCAUUGGGUAUAUAAAGGAGGAGGGAGAGAUAUUUUCAUCCACCUUGAAUAAGGAGUCCGAAAUCCAACUCUAUCUCUAACUUUCCUAACAAACUACAACUCUUUAGGAAACAGAAAAACAGAUCCGUCAGCUUGUUUUGUCCGCCACGGUCAGCACGAGUCGAAUCUCUUGAUGGGGCCAGAUCCGUUGGAAAGGUCUUGUAAUUACCUUUCCAACAAGUACUUGUUUGCUUGAUUUGGACUCCGGAUGCGGCCUGGGUGAUUAAAACAAAUUCGGGUCUCCUGACAGCUCGGACCCGAAUCGGAUUCAACUUUAAUUCGUGAUAUCUUUCUCUAGCAAGCUCCGAAUCAUGUGCCGUUUGAUUUGUUGGAAAGUAGACUUGAUAGGCUUCAAUUUGAAUCUCCCUUUGCAGGCUAUAACACUUCAUCUUCACUUUGGACUUGUAAAGUUCAAUAAGAUGCCUACAUAAUAAGAUUACACAAGAUAGUAGCUCCGCCUCUUUGCAAGUAACAUAUUGAAAACAUUUUGUAAUUGAAUUCACCUGAUUAUAAUUAUUAGAGACACCAACAAUUAGGGUUCUAAUGGUCGUAUCCAUGGUUAGCAUGUCCAUAUCAAUUUGGUAGUAAGAUAAUGGCACGGAUAUAAACUACACUACUUGGAACUUAUAGCUAGCAUAAAGAUACGAAUAAUAUUCCUAAUGCAACUAAUAAAACAUCUGGUGCAUAGUAAAAAUAUUAGGAAAAUGAUCAAAGUGAGUUGCCUUGUUCAAAGCUGUGGUAGUUUUCGCACUCUUCGCAACAACAAGGUUCACACUCCAAACAAUCUAAACAAACAAGCACAAAUACACAUAAACAUGCGAUUCAAUACAAAGAAUAUGCCAUGAUGCAAAAGUAACCAUGAAGCACACCUAGCUUGGUUUAGUAAUAACAACUUUAGUUUCUGUUUUAAAGAACUUUUCAAAGGAUUGCCCAGAUUAUAAAAUAUUAUAGAGCCACUUAUUGUGCAUGAACCAAAAGUAGGGUUUAAUAAUUGCUUAAUAGAUUUUUAGAAAGCAUGGAACAAGAUAGUUUGGUACUGCAAGAUUAUUUUACAAAAUAAUUCUCCCUCUGAUCCUACUGGAUAGGGAGUAUACUUUAGACAUUUUCAAAAUGAUAACAGGUUCAAAAUGGUUUUAAAACAUUUCAUAUGAAUUAUAAACGGUUCUGUUAAAGUUAUUCAAAUUCAAAAUUGAACAGUGCCAAAAGAUUCUACAUGCCAUGAGGAUUCCAGAAAGAUGCAGAUCAUCAAUUUUGGCCAUACGGUUUAAAAGUUAUGAUCAUUUGACUAAUUAGGGGUGUUUUUGCAAGAUUUCCAUUUUAAUUCUGCCGGGGAAUAAACUUUUAAUUAAAAGGGUGACACGUGGCAGCUUCUGUUUGGUUGAUACCGGUUCAGGAAAGGAAUAAAAGACAGUCAUCGGAUUCACUUAAAAACGGACCGCUCAGAUCUAAGGAUACCCUUUCGAAUAAGUGAUUUAAUCCCGACCGUAGAGACAGAUCGGACGGACGAGGAGCGUCGGCCUUACCUCCAGCGGCAGCGCUAGGGUACCGGCGGCGGCGGCGGCGGUGCGGGAAACGACGGCGUGGGCAUUCCAGUGGUCCUCGGAGCUCGGAAAACGGCAGCGAAGAAGCGGCGAGUCGAGGCGGUCCUCCUAGCGGUCGGGCUCUUCCUCGGGGUGGCCGGAGACAAGCGGUUGGAGUUCGGGUUCCCGGCGGCGGCGACGAUGAGCUUCGGUUGUCGGCGGUCUUGGCGCUACGGAGCAUAACAAAAAGAAUGGAGCGCGUCACGACGUGCGCAAUGAAGAUAGGAGAAAGAAUCACCAAAGAGCGACGACUAGAGUUCAUCGGCUAGUUGGCAGCGACCAAAAGCGACGGCGGCGUCCGAAGCUUCUCCAGCGAGAAAUUUGGGCAGCCUAGCGGCGAAAUUGAGCGAGAGGGGAGAGGGACUAGACUGCAAGGGUGAAGGGCUUUAAAAGGACGCGGUCGGUUGCGGAGAUGGGGGUCGUGGGCGAGAGAGACGCGGUGGAGAUCGUGCUCGGCGUGGGACGCCGCCUGCGCGUGGAAUCCGGCUUGGCCGUUGAAGGUGAGAGACGAUGCUGACGGGGGGGGGGGGGGCGCCUGGCAGUGCCUGUGGCUCGGUGCGCGUGAAGCUGGGCUGCGCCUGCUGCUCGGUAAGGGGGCCGGCCCAGUAAGGGUCGGUCCGGUUCCUCUUUCUCUUUUUUUUUCUUGUCUUUUUCCCUUUUUCAUUUUCUGGUUUUGAACUAAACUUUUGAUUCAAAGCUCCAAAUUGAGUCAAAUAAAUUGCAACAAAAUUUGUAAAAUCAUAUCUUCAUAUGAUUGAACUUCUGGGACAAGAAUUCCCUCAAAAUAAAAAUAUAAAAAAUACUUUUGCCUGACAGAGACACAUACAAUCUGUCCCAAUGUAUAAGGAAACUCGUGCUUUGUCUACUCGUCGUGUAUCUCAGUACUGGAUACCUAAAAGUUUUUUUUAUCUAACCCCAGUACGGAGAUCUCGGCAUGUGUUUGUUGUUUGUACGCACUUCGCUUUAGGAAGGGGAACAUAUGGCUAGUGGACUCCGGCUGUUCUCGUCAAAUGACCGGUGAUAAAAAUUGGUUCUCCUCCCUCACACGUGCAUCUCGGGCUGAAUGAAAGUGUAACUUAUGGAUAUGCUUAUACCUCUACUUUUGUGGCGAAAGUUCUCUUAUUUGUAAUGCAGGAACAUAUGUUCAGGAGGAGGAAAUAUUUUUAGAGAUCAUACCCUUAUUGGUGCACGUUGCGUAUUAAAAACAAACAAAAUGAGGAUGGUGUUAUUUUUUGCAACAAAGCUAGGUUUCAAGCUUCCCCACGCGCAUCACAUCUACAAGUUGUCAAAAGGAUUUUCAGGUAUCUACAUGGCACCCAAUCUUUUGGCAUUUGGCUUUCUGCUUCCUCUAGUAUUAUAUUGCGUGCAUUUUCGGAUGUUGAUUUUAGAGAUUGUAGAAUUGAUAGAAAGAGUACAUAGUUCUGUUGCACAAUCUACUGCUGAAAGUGAAUAUGUAGAUGCUGCUUGCUGUUGCUCACAGAUUUUAUGGAUAAUAACUACAAUGUAAGUGAAGCGACUGCCCCCGUAUACGGGUUCGAUCUCUGUGCUUUAGUGCUCGUCCCUGGAUCGACUCACUAGCACACACAGUUUCAAGAUGUAAUAUCAUAGAACAAAGGUCUCAAUAUUACAACGAAUCAUCCAGAAUUUAAAGGUACUUACAACUCGCAUAACCUCACGGGUUAGCUGGAAAUAAAACAACUGUUUAGCAGCGGAAAACAAAAGAUACAAGGGCACAUCAACACCACGGUGAGAGCGUGUUGGAAUGUAAGCCCGUAACCCAAACAAGCAGAACGUACAUCUUACUCGUCGUCGGAGCUUCCUGCAUCAUUAAACGAUGCAGCCACUAGGGUCAAUACAUUGAAUGUAUUGGCAAGAUUCACUAGGAGUUAUAAUAGAAUCUACCAAGUAUAUGCAGUAUUUGGCAAUGUGGAGUUCAGGCUGUUUGCGUGGAAUCAGAACAUAAAUUACCCUACUACAAAGGAAUGUUAUAAUAAUGUUAACUAUUGGACACGGGGUAGACACACUCAUGCUCCUAUUAACCUAGAGUACAUUGAAGUGGAUUCUUCAAGUGCUCCUACCCUGUUCAAACCAUUCAUUUUAUUUAAGAAAUUGGAAUGAGUGAGACUUUCCUUACAGCUCCACAUCUAGUUGCUCAUAUUGUCCGUUGCCGGGGACACGGCUAAGUACUUAGUUUUGACGCUCUCGAGAGUUUGUACACAUUCUCCACAAGAAACCGACGUGUUAAUCCCUUGCUGUCCUCAAGGUAGAGUAGCAACGGCAUCGAUUACGAGAUUUUUAGAGGUAAUUCCCUAAACCACGAGAGAAUCACGCUCCCCCUACACGGCUACCUCAGUACAAUUCCUCGGGUCUAGGUUCAUACAACUUACUCUUGUCUCGCCAGAGCCCAUAUAGCAUUGUGGUUGUACUAGAAGCUUCUAAAUAGGAAACUAGUCUAGUCUCGGUUACCCCAGGUGGCAUUCCACAUUUGCAACGUAGGCGCUCCCCGAAUCCACGGGAGAGACGUCCAUGGACGAUCCAUUCCUGAAUCCACAGGAACUCGACUCAGAGGGACCCAUAGAAAUGGACCUGACGCCGCUAAUCCUCAAAAUCCUCAAAGUAGCCCACCCAGGAUGGUUCAUUGAAUUAGUUGUUUUGCCUUACAUCUAACAAAAACAUUUCAUAUAGCCAAAGGCAUAACAAUAUCAUAAUGUAGUUAUUUCCCCCACGAUACUACCAUAACUUAGCAUUCAACUACAAUCGAUGGCAAUUUGGUAGCAAGGUAAUGGCGAGGGUAAACUAUACUACCUGGGAUUUAUAGCUAGCAUAGAAGUACGAGUAAUAGUCCUAUCAAUGCAUCUCUACCAACAACACUAAUGCAUAAGUAUUUUAAAACAACAAUAGUAAUGGGAUAUGAUCAAAGUGAACUUGCCUUGUCCAAGGUUGUGAUAGUUCUCGCACUCUUCGCAACAACAAGGAAUACACUCCACACAAUCUAAAAAUAAAAGAAACAUGCACACAAUAAACACAACAUUCAAUGCAAAAAUCAUGCCAUGAUGCAUAUGAUAUGAUGAUGCACACAAAGGUUACUUUUAGUGUAACAAGUUUUGUUUCUAUUUCGAAAAGUUUUCAAAUGAUUUGGACAGAUUAUGCAAUACCAAAGAGGUAAUUAAUAUGCAUGAAACAAGGAUAGGGUUUAAAUUAAAAAUUGUGUGGUUUUUGCAACAUAGAACAAGAUUUAAACUUGUAAGCCAUUUUUAUUCACAAAACAAUUUCUUUUCUGGUCCUAAUGGACAGAGAGAACAAGUUUAAAUAAUUUUACAGCAAGAUAACAUGCUCAAAACUAUUUUGAAACAAUUCAUUUGAAAUUUAAACCAUAAACCACCAUUCUGUAAAUAGCUACUGUCUAAGUUGUUCAAAACUGAAAUUAAACAGUGCCAAAAUAUUCUACACGUUGUGACGAUUCCAGAAAGGUGUGGAUCACAAUUUUUGGACAAACGGUUUGAAAGAUAUGAGGCUUUGAAGUUGUAGGGUCUUUUCUGCAAAAGUGUAUUUUCUAAUUCGGCCGAAUUAAAAUAAAACAAAAGGCACUGCCACGUGGCAUGGCGGGAUUGGCCCGGCGCUAGGGUUCCGGCCGGCGGGGCUAGCUCGCCGGACGGCGGUGGCGGGCGGCGCGGGAUGCGGGCGGCGGCGCGGUGCAGCGCGCAGGCCGGCGGCGCGGCGGCGCGCGGGCGAUGCGGCGGCGCAAGGGCGCGGGUGCAGGGCGCGGGCGAGCGGCGGGCGGCGCGCGCGGUCGGGGCGGCGGCGCACGGGCGCGGGGCUCAGGAGCGGGCGGCGGCGGGGGCGGCGCGCGCGGGCGGGCGCGCGGCCACGGCCGAGCGGGCAGCGGGGGCGGCGCGGGCGGCGGGCACGGCAGCGGGGCAGCUCGGGCGGCGGCCGGCGCCGGAGAAGAUGGCCGGAGGCGGGGAAGAAGAUGGGCGGAGCGCGGGCGGCGCUCCAAAAACAAAUCGGUCCACGUCACUACGAGCGCAACGAAGAGAGGAAGAGGAUUAUGAGGUCGGCGCGGGCGGAGACUCACCGGAACGGCGGUGAAACGCGGAAAACGACGGCGGCCGAGAGCAACUUUGGCGAGCAAUUACUUUCUAACCUGUGCGAAAUCGGGUGAGCGGUUUGGGGGAAGUGGAGGAGAAAAGCAAGGGCUUCGGGGUGACGCGCAGGGAUUUGGAUUUGGAGGUUCGUGCGCGAAGAAAUUGGAACGGAAUCGUGGGCGACUCGGAGUCGUGCGUGGCCGGGCUUCUCGGGCAGGCAGUUUGGGGAAGAAGGGUGGCGGGGCCCACCGGUCAGUGGGAGCGGGCGGCUGGGCUGGGCGGAGCCGGUCGGUCUGGUCCGGUUCGGUCCGGUUCGGCCGGUUUUCCUCGGUUUUUCUUUUUCUUUUAUCUAUUUUCCGUGUUCGAACCUCAAAAUUGAUUCGAAGCUCCAAAUCACUCCAAAUAAAAUGCAACAAAAUUUGUAAAAUCAUAUUUUCAUAUGAUCUAACUUUUGGAACAAGAAUUUUCUCAAAAUAAAAUAUUUAAAAAUACAUUUGCCUAUAAAAUGGCUUUUAGGGCCCUUAGGCUAUCGAAAAAAAAGUAUUUUUUUCAAAAUACUUUCAAAAGUCAACUUAUGGGAUAGCUCUAUAUAUGCAUUAAAUCCCUUUUUACCACAAUACCCUCAUGGGUUAAAAUGCAAAUACUCAAGAGCAAGAUCAAAGCCCAAAAUCAAAUAAAGGCAUUUUUGCAAAAGGGUUUUCUGGGCAAAAUCUUGGGUUUUCAAAGGGUCCAAUGCAAAGGUGACAUGAUGCUUAUGAUAUGCAAUGCACAUGAAGAGUUUUGAAAAUUGGGAUGUUACAGUAUGAUUAUGGGGUUACUUUAGAAAGUGUACCACUUUAUUGUGAUAACACUAGCGCUAUAUGUAUUGCUAAAAACCCGGUGCAACAUUCUAAAACCAAGCACAUAGAUAUAAGAUAUCAUUUUCUUAGAGAUCAUGUUGAAUAAGAAAAUGUUGUGCUCAACUAGCAGACAUUUUUACUAAACCAUUGGAUUCUUCUCGGUUUGCUUUUGUUCGAGGUGAACUUGGAGUAAUCAAACCAUACGGGAUGGUUUGAGGGGGAGAUUGUUCUUGUUGUACGAUAUGUAAAAUAUCUUUUCGGUUGCUUCUUUUUCGUUCUUUUAUCUUUAAUAAAUAAAAAAUCUGAAAAAGUAAUGAGCAUUGUAUUCCAUCCUGAAAUGACAUUUUUGCAACCACGUUUAUGUUUUGUGGACAUUGUCAUUUUAUAUGUAUGCUCGUAUGAAGUAGUCACAUGACUUCUAAUACGAAUGAUAACUUGAACUAAAUCUUGUCAUGGUUAAACUUUGUUAGCUAUUUUGAUCUUCGAUACUUAAUUACUAGCAAUGAUGAAAAUAUAAUGGUAUCAAGGUUCCAAAUAGACAAAGACAUGUGGUGUCAAGCAAUUUUUACAAAAUAAAUAUGCCAAUGUCGCACUACAUCUACACGAGACUGCUUACCAUUGCACCUUGGUACGAACUUGGAAGUUGCUGUGUUUAUUGAAACCUUUGUCUUAAGCUUCUGAUUGCUUACCAUUGCCUUAAGCUUCUGAUUGUUAAUCAUUGCACUUUGGACAUAGGCUUGGCAAGGUGUUUUAAAUAUAGGCUUGACAAGGUUGAAUGGACUUGGCAUAUAAAUUCAAUGAAAAUAAAUAUUAUACUUUUAUAAAGUGCUCUGUUUAAUGUAAUGUGUUGUAAGUUAUUUUGUAUUCAAGUAUUGAUGUAGUUGACAGAGGGAGACCAUGUCCUGCAAUAAAUCGUAACAAUACUUGUUUUUUAAUCAUGUGUAGAUUACAUCAUACUUAUAUACAUGUCGAGUACAACUACUUUUUACAUGACUUGGAUGCACAAUUAUCAUGUUCAUGAUGUUUCAUAAUGCUCAUUACAACAAUAACAAAAUAUGAAAUAUGACAAAAUAAACAAAAAAAAUCCCUUCUAGUUUAAAGAAACAUUUUUUAAAGUGGGACAUAUUUUUGUCUGGUUUUGAUGAAAUUCAUUGUCAAAGGGGGAGAGAUUUCAACACAUAUACAUACCAUAUUUUACCUUUAUUGGUGUUUCUCCAACAUUUUGAUGUUUUUCGUUUUCUUUUCGAAACCUUGAAAAUCUGAGAGUUAAGUGAAUGUGUGUGCCAAUCAAUGUUCAAUGUCUAGUGUUAAGGAGAUGUUGCCAGUGUUUUUUUCAUCAAGGGGGAGAUUGUGAAAUCAUAUGUGAUGUGUAACAUUGGCAAGUGUUUACGAUGAAACAUUGAUGUGGAUAUUUUUAAUAAUAUGGAUACUUAUGUGAUGACAUGUAUUUUGUUUGGACUUAGUGCUUUGUUAGUGGUGUGUUGAUCCAUUAGUUUCUUAUGUGAAAGACAUGGUGUGAGUUGUGUGGAACUUAACCUGAGUCAAGUCGUGGACUUGUGCUCGUGCUGGUUAUUUGUGUAUUCGUCUUCAGGUGUUUCCGGAGCUAGAGAUAUGUGGUCGAUGACGGGAUCGAGGGACAAAACUUGGGAGAAGCUGAGGUCGAGGAUCAAGGUCAUGCGGGACGUUCAUGCGAAGGAACAAUGGAAGUGAAGCCUACGAUGAUCCGAAAGGGCACCGGCUUGUUGUACGUUACUUAUACCGGAGAUGUAUGGUAUUGGAGAUAUUCGACACGUGAUGGUCGAGUUUUGAAGACAUCACAAGAAGAGUUGAUGGCAUGGAGUGGCAUCGACGUGAAGACAUGUAGGUCCAGCCGUGGCGGGAUGAGAGCUGUUUAAAGAUUAAAUAGUAGCGUCAUCAAGAUGACGUCCGAUGGAAACGUCCUCCACACAAAAGUUGUGCGCGUCGUCGAGACGAAGAACUUUGCUUUUGGAGUCCUCUCAAUCCGAGGUCGUAUGCGGACCCCACGGGCAGAAUACCGACCGGGACAUAGUAGUUCGUGAUGGAUUCGGACUUGGUUUAGGGUCGCGAAUUUUCUCUUAUAAAUAGAGGGCGUCUAGGCUAGGGUUUUAGUAAGGACGUGAGGGAAUUCAGAGCUUUGGAUCUAGAUCAAUCAUUGGAGAGUUCUUAGAUGCAUGGUUGCAUCUUUUGUAAUCGAUCGACAUCGUUGCAAUAAAGAGAUUCGUUGGCGGUGUCAUCUCUAUUUUUGUCGGAUCUUCGUGGAAUCUUCGUGCUAGAUCUUCUAACACUUCGGUGCAGCUCUCUCAUAAGAUCAUAACAUGUUGCUGCAGGUUUCUCAUGAGAUCAAAGGAAUAUUGCGAUUACUUCAUCUUUCUUGUUAUUCCUCGAAAUUGGUUUUAGAUUAAUCUUCGUAACUUUGUGUCAGCUGUUACUGUUUUGAUCAUAUCUUUUGAUUGGUACGUCCGAUUGAGCUGAUUCUUGUUGUGUUGGUUAUAUAAUUUCAAUUCUUUUCUUUUUCAUAUGCAUACGUAUUUUUUGGUUCAUCCAAUCAAAAGUUACGGCUGUUUUACUAUCACGGACAGAAAGGUGUUUUAGGGUUUGAACUUUCAGUAAUUUGCUUCCGCGCAAUCAUUCACCCCCCCCCCCCCUCUGAUUGCCUAUCUCGAUCUCACAACUAUCUUACCAGGACAAAGUGAUAGAGGACCUCGACAAGCAGCUAGAGGAGAUGAGGAAUCAACAGAAUAAAAUAAAGAAGAAGAUUGAAGAACCGACCAUUUGUUUUGCUGCAUCUUUCAGUGCUGCACUGGCAUUCGGGGCUGUGUUAUUUUCUUUAGCUGAGAAGCUGUAGAACAAAGGAGUAUUUGUAUGACUGCAUGUUGCAGCAGUGUAGUGAUAAUGUUUGUGUUUGUACUAUUAGAAUGAUAUGUGGAUCUUGAUUUGAACUAUCUGUGUUUGAUCGGAUCAAUAAAAUAGUUAUGAACAAAAAAGGAAUGAGGAAGCUGCUCUGAAAUGUUUCUAUUAAUAAGCCUAUGGAGCAAAAUUGAGAAACGACAAGAACUUUAUAUAAACAUAUUGCAUUCAAGUGAUGACACAUAGGGCAUCACAUUGCACAAUAGUCUUACAUUCAUAGGGGGUUAACAUUCGGGCACUUGCAACCACACUAAAUAGAACAAACUUAAACUAGCUAAAGCAUCCAACCUAACUAAAUUAAACUCCACUUCUUCAGUUGCGGUAGCUCAGAAUGCAGCAUGCCACAAAAGUGCCGACUAUCACCGCUCCUGUAGUUCCCAACCCCACUACAGCAAUUGUCCCGACGGGCGUCUUGAGGUGCUUGUGGGUAGCAGCUCCUGCUUCGGAGAGCACCUGGAUGAGGUCCAUGGCAUCGCCAAGCAACGCAAGCCGCACGUGACGCCCCUUGUUGUUGCCGAUGAAAACAUCUGUCUCGUUCGGACCAUGUUGUGCGCCGGGGCUUAUACCUCCAUGUCACGGCCAACCUGAAAAUGGAAGUUCGGAGUGCCAUAGGUGGCGUGGAAGAAACGAUGUGCCCUGCCAAGGUGGUGGUGGAGGGAGCCGGCGUAGCCUAGCGAGCCGGCGGCCGCCAACGUGGCGGCCGUGACGACGUACGAGGCUGCCACGGUAGCUAGGCGAACUUGCUGUCCCCCGACGUUGGCAAGCAUCACCAAAUCAUCGGGGCGCGCCUUCUUCUUCACGGAGGACUUCUUCUUCUUCAGCUUCGGCGUAGCAGCCUCCGGCGGCAGCUCCUCCAUGGCCUUGGCAGGCCCACGAGCCUCCGGCACAGGCUCCUUCUUGCGACGGCCGGUCCUUUGCGCCGCGGGCCGGCUGUUUCGGCUUCGGCUGCGAGGAUGGCCGCAGCGGCAAUGAGGUCAUCGGGCCUCGUUCUAGCUGGGAAGACGGCGCGCGCGGCCUGCUUAGGAACCCUAGCCAGCAAUCGGUGGAUGAGGCCGUGGCAAGGCUUGAUUUCGGUCGACAUUGCGAGCUAGGGUUUGAGUUAGCGGCAGCGGAGGCGUGGGUUGGGCUUUGGGAUGGAGAGAAGGGGGGAGAGGAGGAGGGGAUAAGAAGGGGGGUUCUGACGUUCUGUACUAUUUUCUUGCGGGAGAAGAGAAAUUGGAGGGCCCGGUUAUGGCUUCCGUCGGAAGGAAAGCAUCUCCGUCAACUCGAGCUAACCGGCGGCGAUGGAGGUUUAGAGUGUGCUUAUGUUCUGCAAUUGUAAUCAACAUGGAGAAGAAGUUUUUGUGAUAGUGGUCCCGGCGGCCAUUGGUUUAAAAAUUGGCCAGCCACGGGAGGCAUUCGGAUCUUUUUUUAAAUUGGCCGGCCAUUGGUUGUAUGCACGGGUCUUUUUUUAAUUAGGAUCUCAACUUUAUGUGGCUUCUUAUGCAAAACAUGGAUCUUUAAGUAAAAAAGAGAUGAAUACAUGGAUCGUUAACUAGAAAAGAGAUGAAAACAUGUAUCUUUAAGUAGAAAAGUGAUGAAUAUGGAUCUUUAACUAGAGAAGAGAUACAUGGAUCUUUAACUAGAAAAGAGAUGAAUACAUGGAUCUUUAACAGAAAAGAGAUGAAUACGUGGAUCUUUGAUUAGAAAAGAGAUGAAAACAUGGAUCUUUUACUAGAAAAGAGAUGAAAACAUGGGUCUUUGACUACAAAAGAGAUGAAUACAUGGAUCUUUCACUAGAAAAGAGAUGAAAACAUGGAUCUUUAAGUAGAAAAAUGAUGAAUACAUGGAUCUUUAAGUAGAAAAGUGAUGAAUACAUGGAUCUUUAAGUAGAAAAGAGAUGAAUAGAUGGAUCUUUAAGUUGAAAAGUGAUGAAAACAUGGAUCUUUGACAGAAAUGAGAUGAAAACAUGGAUCUUUGACUAAAAAAGAGAUUAAAACAUGGAUCUUUGACUAGAAAAGAGAUGAAAACAUGGACACCCGAUCGAUCGGCAUGCACGCACGAGAUCGAGAGAAGAGAUGACAUGAAAGGAGAUGAUACGACAGGGUGCAAUGAGGCUGCACAACCACCGGGAUGGAACGCAUGCACGAACGAUACGCAUGGCAAUUGCCUCAUGAUAGCAACGGGCGAAUAUGAACGAAGUCAAGCUAGCAUUGGCACGGGCGUGGCAACUGCCCUCAUGCAUGAGUUGGAGUAUAUCUAAGGCAGCUGCAUGCCUAAUUUCUCUCCACAUGUGAUACGCAUGAAGGGAGUAUAUCUUUGGUGGAAAAACAGAGGGGGUAUAUCCUUCGUGGCAAACGAGAGCUGCACGCUGCCACAUAGAAACAAAGCAUUACACGUAAAGAGGCAGAAUUAACCAACCAAAACAUAGAGUCAACCAAUGCUACCAUGCUUACAAGUACAUGCAAUGUUAAGUCGUGCUUUGAGAACAAGACAACAUUUUGUUCUGUGCGUGAUUGUCCGCAAUUAAACUAUCGAUGAAAGUGACCACAAAUGAGUGUAAAACAUAGAGUUACCAAUCCUACGAUGAUUAGAAUGUCCAAGAAACUCAAAAUGACAUUUGUCGGGAUGGAAAUUGAACAUACUUGGGUCCUCACAAGUAGGAUUUCUCCUUUCGAGCAUUUUGGGAAAAUACAAUAAUAAGAAAUACAAUAACAUUUGUGAAUUCCAUCAUAUAACUUUCUCCAAAUCAAGUGAAACUUUGCACAAUGUCCCACACAUGACAUGUAGUAGCACCAUGCCAAAUUUUGUUCACUUUUGACAUGUUUGCUAUUUUUUGAAAUUCAAAUUCACUCAAAUUUGGAUGUUUGCUACCAAAUGUAUGAGCAAUAUGCGGAACAAUGAUCCCACAAGAUUUAAAUAGCCUUGUGAGUUCAUCACUAGUGUCUUCACCAAGUCUCACGAUUUCUGGACUUGCGCAAGAUCUAUAUUUCGUGCAUUCUUUGAAUUUAUGGGGAUUUCGGCCAGAAAUUAAAAAAUAGAUGAAACUGGACACAAUUGAGUGUGCACUGAAUGCAACAAAGUUACUUCUGAACCAAAUAUGUCCAAGAAACUUGGAAUGACUCUUCUUGGGAUGGAAUUUGAACCUAUUUGAGUCCAAACAAAGUGGGAUUUGUCUUUUCGGGCAUUUUCAAACAAUACAAUAAGGGUUAUGAAAUGUUCCCCCGAAAAUUCUGAAAACUUGCAUGGGCUCUUUAUUUGUCAUUUGUUACCACCGCAAAAAAAAAUCAGAUCAAAAUCGUUUGAGAAUUUUGUUGUGUAAAUUCACUCAAUUUUGUAUUUUACCCAUUGACACGUGGGGUCCGUUGGAUUCAGGUUUAUCCGUGGAGCAGCUGAGAAGUUGCUCAUUCUUGCCUCUUGCGAUCCCUUCCAUCCCAUUAAUAAACCGCAACGCUCACCCACUUCUCCACUCAUUCACCCCGCCGAUCCUUUCCAUCUCCACUCUCAUCUCACCAUGUCGACGACCGAAGCCAUGGCCACGAACAAGAGGAGUGCGCCGCUCGCGGCUGAUGGCAGGGAGGCUAGAUCUACUUUCCUGAUAGCCUCGAGGGUGUCCCGAUCUUUCGAUGAGAUACCUAAUUAUCGAUUUGGUAGGAGGUGACGUUGACGAUCCGACUAUAACAUAGGAGGCAGCGCCUUAGCGAUCGAUACACCAACUCCAGAAGGUUAUUGAUCCCGCGGGGGACGAUCAACCUGACCACGAAGGUCUUUUUUCCUGCAAGCAAUCGAAGAACAAGCAAGAACAAGAUGAAAAGCAAUCUGAAAUUGCGAAUAGGAGAUUUGAAGGUUCACGAAUCUAAAUACUCAAUAUAGUUGGAGUCUUGAUGACGGUAAAACAGAUGGUCUAACCAACACACGCGAUUACACGAAAGUAGCAAAGGCUAAACUUUAUCUAAUCAAAACCCAAGGCUCCAUAGGGGGGCUCAUGGGGUAUAAAUAGGAGGGGAACUAGGUGGUUUUCGGCCAGGCCCUUGAGGGACUCCGAAACGGCCUAGGAAUCCUCCUAAAACACAACGAAAACAUCUAAAAAUUGGCUGAACCCUAUUACAUGGCCUUAGGCCCAAUAAAGCAAGGUUAUAACCCUCAUCUUUGGCCCAUAGAUACCCAUUGGAGGGGGAAUCCUCCACUUGGCCGAAAUCCCAUUGAUGAAGAGGAUGCGGCCUUCUUCUCAUCUCUCGUUAUGGCGGUUUCAAUGUUUUGAAAUCAUUACUUGAGCUAGCUUCCGCCACCUUGCUGCCACCUCCAUGGUUUGCUGUCCAACGCUGAUCCUUGAGGUCCAAGCUAGGUCCUUCAUUCCUAAAACACGUAAAAGAACCCAUCUUAGGCAGCAGCAUAUUCUCAUUAAUAUUAAAUGAAGUACCGAGGAACGAAAGUACCUGAUAAUUUAGUUGUCGUGCACGAGCUCUAGUAAUUGGUCCAUGUAUCUCCGGUACUUGAGGUGUAGGUGCUGUAGGGGCUGUGGUUGUAUAAAUUAGUUGGGAUGUCCUCAUCAUUUCCCCUUUCAAACAGAAUACGAUUUGUCAGUUUUGUUGUUCUCAAUCAACUCUCUCUCUCUCUCUCAGGCGCACGUGCAUCCUCGAGUCUUUGGUCCAGAGCCCCCCGCUAAGGUGCCACUGCUUCCCAUCCCUUUUUGUCUCCUGAUCUUCGUGGUUAUGCAUUGAUUAGGGACCACUGCUUCCCAUCCCUUUUUGUCUCCUGAUCUUUGUGGUUAUGCAUCGAUUAAGGACCACUUUUAGGGUUUUGUCCCCUUUCUAAAUGUGGAUCUUUUCCUCGUACAUGUCCUCGAGACCCCACCUCGAAUAUAUCCUAUAUUUGUAAAUGUGGAUCUGUGUUACCAUUUGAGAAUAGAUUAUUUUCCCCAUUUCUAACCCUACGGUUUUAUCCCCUUUCUAAUUGCACAGCCCAUCUGGAGGGUUGUUUCCCCAGGGGAGUACGGAAACAUGACCGACAGGGAGAAAACCAAGGCCUGGAACAUCCUCGUCAGGCAAGAGCUGAUAAAUCUGUUCUUCCUAUGUCCCCUAUAUUUAUCCAUAGUUCUAGUUUGGGUGAUUAGUUGUAGUUUGUGUUGUUUAGUUGUAGUUUGUGUUUAUUAGUUGUAUUUGUGUUGAUUAGUUGUAGAUUGGGUUAAUUAGUUCUAGUUUGGGUUAAUUAGUUAUACUUUGGAUUAAUUAGGACAGUUAGUUUGUGUUAAUUAGUUGUAGUUUGGGUUAAUUAGUUCUAGUUCGUGCUAAUUAGUUGUAGUUUGUGUUGAUUUAGUUGUACAUUGGAUUAAUUAGGGCUGUUAGUUUGUGUUAAUUAGUUAUAGUUUGGGUUAAUUAGUUCUAGUUCGUGCUAAUUAGUUGUAGUUUGUGUUGAUUUAGUUGUACAUUGGAUUAAUUAGGGCGGUCAGUUUGUGCUAAUUAGUUGUGGUUUGUGUUGAUUAGUUGUAGAUUGGGUUAAUUAGUUCUAGUUUGGGUUAAUUAGUUCUAGUCUGGAUUAAUUAGUCCCAUACUCAUCUAGUUGCUUUCAAAUUGGCCCAACAGGAUGCAGGUGGCAAAGCUUUUGCCAAAAAGCUUUGGAAAUUCAUCAGCCCCUACCUGUUCGUCAAGCUGUGUGCUGAGCCCAAGGAGGUUGUAUUGUCUCAGUUCACGGGCCACCUGAACUGGCUCGCAGCCCUGGGCAAUCAGGUGGAGAUUGAGAUGAUCGCCGAACACGAACUGGAUGAGGUCAAGAAAGUUCAACCAGACUUAGAGGUAACAACCGCUCCAUAGUUUAAUCAGUUAGCUGGGCACGACUUUUAAUUUCAUACAAAUGAAAUCCACAUUUUGAAUGAUGUGAUUCAUCUUUUACAUGCAUGCAUGGACACAGAUCCUGCCGACCAAUGUGAGGUUGAAGAAGACGAUGAUGAGGGCAUCCUGGAGGUCACCACUGAGAUCUAUGAUCUCAUGGUUCUGGGAUACCGUCGAUUGUGCCUCAUGGGGUGAGCUGCCCAUUCUAUGUACGGUUCAGGAACGUGGAAUUCUUGAGCGUGCUGCAGCACGCAGAGACCUUCCGCCGCCCUCAGGAGCCAAAUGCCGGGGGCAGAAAGGGCAAGAACAAGGGCCUGGAGUGGUACCUGAGGGACAAUGUACCUUCCCGUCUCAAAGACAUGGUGGCUGCAAGAGAUCGGAAGUUUGGCAGGGUGUAGGCCCCUUAGUUCACGUCAGCUUUAUAUAUUCCAAUUAAUGUAGUAUGUUUGGGGAUGUCCCCUUAUACUUUGUCGGUUUGCUGUUGUGAUGUGCUACUUAUUCUGGGAUCCUCUGUAUGAUCCCAUCGUACUAAGUUAUACUUUCUGUGUUGUUGUGCUUUAUAUAUUGUUGUGUUAUAUGUUGGUCCGCAACUAUUUCUGUUAUGCUGUGAUCUAUGUUGGGAUCUGAUAUUCUUGCUUUACUGCUCAAUUACAGUGUUUACAGAUACAAAGCUAAAAUCACAGUACGUUCCAUGACAUUACAGAUUCAAAAACAAAUAAAAAUUCAAAUUAAAAAUAAAAGCUUCAAAUUCAAGCUAAUUUUUUUUAAAUAAUACGAUUUUUUUAAUCAUUUUUAAAAAUAAUACGCGUUUUUCAAAAAUUUUAAAAAUAAUACGGUCGGCCUCGCCCAGGCCGAAUGGACCUAGUCGGCCUGGCCCAAGCCGAUUAGGCCCAGUUGGCCUCGGCCAGGCCGACUGCAAGCCGGCUGCUCAUCGCGCGGGGCCCCCACGAGGCGCUCGGCUUGGCCAGACCGAUUGAGCCCAGUCGGCCUAGCCUUGGCCGACAAGCCAAUCGGCCUAGCCGUGGCCGAAAGGCACCUGGUGGGCCGCGCGCGGAAUCUUCCUUUUUCUUUUCCCUUUCCCUUCAUCCCUUCCCAUCCCAUGCGCGAGCCCAGCCAGACGCCCCCGAGCCCCUUCUUCUUCAUGCUCGUGUUCUUCUCUGUUCUUCCUUUUCUCCUCCAAUGCCCCCAUUUUCUAGCCCAAAUUACUGCAUUUUGAUCCCAUUUAACCCACAAAAUCGCAUCCCCUACCUAGUUGGCACCCAAAGACAUCUCGAUCUACUGUUUUCAUAGGCCAUGUAGAGCUAAUUUUGUGGUGCAAACUUGGAGCAAUGUUGGUGGUUUGGAGGAGUUUGGAGGUGGUGGUGGUGCUCAUCCGGUGACUGUGAGGCUGCUCAAGGUUGGGGUUCACACGCUUCAAGGGUAAAUCCUAAUCUCUCACGUAUUUGUCCUAUAAUGUAUAUGUUUAUGAGGAUACGUGUGUAUGUAUAUAUAGAAGUAUGUUUUAGCGUUUGGUAGUGCUCAUUAUUUUGGACAACGGUUAAUGUCAUACUGCUUAGUAUUUGAUGCGUCUAAAUAUUAUGGCCGGUAGUAAUAUGUUUUGAUAGACUAGAUAUUUUUUUUAUGCCGUACUGUUUAGUAUUUGAUGCGUAUUAAUAUUUUAAAUCUGUCGUACUGCUUAGUAUUUGACGCGUCUAAAUAGUAUGGCCGGUAGUAAUAUGUUUUGAUGGGCUAGAUUUUAUUUAUGCCGUACUGUUUAGUUUUUCACGCUAAUAUACCGUAUUGUUUAGUAUUUGUCGCGUAUUAAUAUUUUAAAUAUGCCGUACUACUUAGUAUUUGACGGUCUUAAUAUUUUUUAUAUGCCGUACUGCUUAGUAUUUGACGCGUCUAAACAUAUUUUUAGGCAUCAGAGAUGUCCGGUGUAGUGAAGUUUGUUUUUUACUAUGAUUCCAGUACUGUCUUAACAACUGAGCACGGAGCUGAUCUGAGUCAGUUUAAAUAUGUGGAGUUGGAUCUAACGGCCCCUCAAACAUGGACGUUUAGUCAGUUGCAAGAAUGGUUGGUAGGAUGUUUAGCGCUCAAUCCUGAAACAUACACCGUCCGUGUGCAAGCAUUGUGGACCAAGUCAAGUUCAAAUAUUUUCUGGGUUUUGAGGCCGAUAGACCGGACAUCAAAGUGGGUGCGCUGGUUAGAAAGUUGCGAGAAAAGGGGAACUACACCUGUCGCCUUAAUCCAGGUUGUCGCUCAUGAGACCAAUCCAGCUGAAGGCGAAGGUGAAUCAAGUUAUGACUUGUCCAAUGCAAACUCUGUGUCAAAUGCUGGAGGUGGUGGUUAUGAAUCAGGCCAGAUCUCCGGGGCAGUAGGAGAGGAUGCGUACACUGGCGAGGCAGAUGCGGACGAAGAAGAUGGUCACUUAAAGAACCAGAUGGAGGAUGAAGAUACAGAUGGUCGUAGUUCCUAUGACGAUGAGUCUCAUGAGUCGGACGAAGAGGAGGUGCCGAUUCCUGCAUCAUGGAAUCAGCACUUCUCUUCAGCUAUGAGCGUGAACGAUGGGCACGACUCUGCAUGGCAAUAUCAUCAGAACAACAUUGCGAAGGGUGCCAGAUUUCCUGACAAGAAACAUCUGCAGGAUGCAAUAAUUGCUUGGGCAAUGUCCACGCAAAAGGUUUUCAAAACAACAGUCUCUUCACAAAAAUAUCUGACAAUGGAGUGCGAACAAAUAGAUUGUCCCGGGAGGGUGCAUGGCUGUGUUCCUAAGUAUGACACAGAUUGGGUUGUGAGUGACUUGUGUUGCACACAUGUGUCAUUCUCAAUAUCCCUCAAGACCAUCGAAACCUCUCAUCGACGCUUCUUACUCGGUUGCUUUACACGGAGAUAGUGGAGAGCAAAGCAAUGGAAGUGAAGGCCAUCAUGCAUAAGGUCAGGGUAAGGUUUAAGUACAACAUUUCGUAUGGCAAGGCUUGGAGGGCUAAGCAGAGGGCUCUUGAGGAAAGAUUUGGUUCGUUUUUCGACUCGUACGACUCUGCUGUCCGCCUCCUCCAUACACUGCAAGCCCGUAAUCCAGGCACCUAUGUCGACAUCCAACACUUCCUGCACCCAGAGUAUCCAACUGUGAGGGUGCUACAUCGACUGUUCUUCACUUUCGGUGUAUGCGUCCAAGCUUUCAAUCAUUGUUGACCGGUGAUAUGCGUAGAUGGAACUUUUCUCACUGGCAAAUACAGGGGGCAGAUCUUGACCGCCAUUGGUCAAGACGGCAACAAUCAAAUCGUUCCGCUCGCAUUUGCUUUCGUGGAGGGUGAGAACACUGAAAGUUAGUUAUGGUUUUUCAAGUAGCUCAAGAGAGCAGUUGUGCAUGAUAAGCCGAAUGUGUGCAUCCUUCAUGACAGACAUGCAGGCAUACUCAGUGCGAUAAGGACACUGACAAACCCUGGGCCUGAUGAAUGGACUCCAUGGCAGGACAUGCAAAGUUGUUGGUGCAUGCGGCAUUUGGGGGCCAACUUCUUCUCGCAGUUCAGGAACAAGUCACUUAUGAAUCUAUUCAAGAAACUCUGCAAACAGAACCAACGAUGAAAGUACACUAGGAUACGUGGUUAUCUUGAUGAGUUCACGAAGAAACAUGUUAGGGAGAGGACAGCGGCACGAAACGCAGCGGUAGCAGCAGUGGCUGCACGGACAGCAGUUGGAGCAGGACCAUCUAAGGAAGAACCUGUUGGGCUUUGUGACUUGCCAGGGGUUGACCCACCCGGCACUAGGAGAAGGGCUGGGAGGCAGAUUAAAAACUUUCAGCAGUGGAUAGAGCACGAGCCUCUGGAGCGGUGGUCUUUGCUUCACGACACACAUGGCGAUAGGUACGCGUCAUGACUACUAACCUGGCAGAAACAUACAACUUUGUCCUAAGGGGAAAUAGGGCUAUACCACUUAAAGCCAUCGUCGAGGGUAUUUUCCAUGGCACGGUGAAGUAUUUCAGAGAUAAACGCCAGAGAGCUGAAAUGCAUAUCAUGAACAACCCAAAUACACCGUACUGUGAAAAGAUUAUGAAGUACAAGGAUGAGAAGAUGGAAAAAGAUAUGUCUCAUAAUGUCGUCGCCAUCGGUAAUGAUAGGGGAAAGGUGCCCGAUCUUUCGAUGAGACGGUAACUAUCGAUUUUUGGGUGGAUGUCGACAUUGACGAACCAGCUACAAACGUGCGAGACGUUGCGCCUUAGCGAUCGUUCCACCAACUUCCGAGGUUAUUGACCACGCCGGAGCUAGAUCAACCUGAUCACGAAGGAUCAAUCCCUGCAUGCAACCGAAGAACAAGCAAGAAUUAUAGAUGCAAUCAAGAUAUUGUGAAUAAAGGUGAAGCUUUAUUGAUGGGAUUCUGCAAGCGCGUAGUACAGAAGGUCGAUUUGACACUUGUGCCUAUGGCGAAGAGUAGCGAAUAGCUAAGUUUUAAACUAAACAAAAUCCGAAUCUAAACGAAGACCUAACGGGGGUAUAUAUGGAGGACUAGAGGGGUAUGCGGCCAGCCUUGGGAGAGGAGGCCGAAACCUACUCUAGGUUGGUUUCCUUCACCUAUACGGACUCUAAAGUUCAGCCCAUGUAUGUGGACGAAAAUUACAUGGGCCUAGCCCAAACUUAAAAGGUGACGCAGCACCAUAUAAUUAUAUGGACGAAAAUAUGAAGGGAAAAGCUCUAUAUUUCGUCCACGUCUUCAUCUCUCAUUAUAGUGGCUUCAACGUUUUGAAAUCUCCCGCUGCGGUGCCAUCUUCAGUCCUCACACGCUUGCUGCCUUCAUCUCCAUGCGUGAUCAUGCUCCAAUGCUUGUCCCUCUCAUCCAUGCUAGGUCCAUCAUUCCUAAGUGUGACAAACACAUCUGAUUUAGGAAGCAUCAUAUUCUCAUGUAUGUGAAGAAUCGUUCCAAGAAACGAAAGUACCUGAUAAUUAAGUUGGCGUGCGCGAGCUCUUGUGAUAGGUCCUUGUAAUGUGACUGUAGGUGCUGCGGGUGUAUCGACAUGUGGGAUGUCCUCAUCAGGUAAUCAAGAACACAAGUUUGAGGUGUGCUUGCCAACUGACAAGAUCGGCGUUGGAAAUGAAUUGAGGACACAGGAGGUGAAGAUUGGAAAUGAAGCGUGGCCAACGUGUGAGUGCACCUGCAACAAACCAAAGUUGCUUCACCUUCCUUGCUCACAUGUACUUGCUGCUUGCGGGCAGCUAGGGAUGGACGCAAUCUCAUUUGUGUCUCCCUAUUACCUAAAAGAGUCUGUGCUUAGCACAUGGACGGGUGAGAUGCUAGGGUUUCGUGCAAUGGGCAAUUUCAACAAGGUAACCCUUGGUGAAAGGCGGUACAUCCCUGACCCCGGGCUACUGCAGACAGGCACAGGCAGACGCCCGUCCAGGCGCAUCCGAAAUGAUAUGGAUGAAUCUGAGGCCGGAGGACCGUCACGACAAUGUUUUCUAUGCAACCAUUUUGGCCACAGGGACACUUAUUGUCCAAUUUUCGGUACUGGCGGAACUACUGCCCAUGGAAGAGGGAGACGUGGACGACGAGAGAGAGGAAGAAACUAGACUAUGACCUUAAUAUGUACUCUAUGUGAAACUAUGUGUUAAUUUGUACUCUGUGUGGAACUAUGCUAUAAUUUGUACUCUAUGUGGAACUAUGUUUUAAUUUGUACUAUAUGUGGAACUAUGUGUUAAUUUGUAUUCUAUGUUUUAAUUUGUACUCUAUGUGAAACUAAGUUUUAAUUUGUACUCGGAACUAUGUGUUAAUUUGUACGCUUUGUUCAACUAUGUUUUAAUAUGUACUAUCGGUUUAACUAUGCUUAACUUUGUAUUGUAUGUCUAACUAUGUUUAUAAAUGUUGCAGGUACAAAAUGGAGAGAGUAUCAUUGCUAUCUCCGGAGAUUGAGAGUAAGCAUCGGGCUGCUCGAUUGGUGGCGCAUCCUGGGAGUGUCGAGCCCCUUGUCACGCGCACUCCUAAGGAAAAUUGGAUGAUACACCCUGCCUGAAUUCAUCGGUAUUUAUUCAUUCAUCCCUUGCAUGUCCAUUUUAUUUAUUCAUCCCUUGCAUGUCAUUUUACUUAUUCAUCCCUUGUAUGUCCAUGUUAUUUAUGUAGUUUGAAGUGGGCCGGCCUUUUACCUUUCGCACGACUUGUUGAGGCAACUCGUGCGGAAAUGGUAGAGGGCGAGCGUUGAGGCUUCAACUCCACACGGCUACAAAUUGACCACUCGCUGCUGAGCUGCUUAGUGGAUAGAUGGAGGCCCAAGACAUACACGUUUCACUUUCGCUGGGGAGAGAUGGCUCCUACUCUUCAGGAUGUGUCGAUGCUGCUGAGACUACCAUUGGUGGGUGAUCCCAUAGGACCGUUGCAGGCGCCAGCUGAUUGGCAGGAGGGUAUGGCACUACGUUUUCAAGGUAUGUUUUAAUGUGUGCUCUAUGUUUUAAUUUCUACUCUAUGUGGAACUAUGUGUUAAUUUGUGCCCUACGUUUUCAAGGUAUUCUUGCCAGAGUUGGGCCACUCACCUCGGAGGCUCACGGACCUAAGCUAGUUUGGUUGCUCAAUUACCGGGUUAGAUCGAUGUGUUUUAAGUUAAUAUAUCUAAGAGCAGCUUCAUUCAUGGUUUAUGUAAACUAAUGUAUAAAUUUCACAUUCGACAUACCUUGUUACGUGUCCAAAUUGUCGCGAAAGUAGGCAGGUCAAUGUGUUCUAAGUCAAACAACUCCUGCUCAGGGUUAGGGUGAUCACCCGUAACUUCUGGUCGGCCGAUAGAAAACCUCUCCCACGACCAAAGUUGCAACAAUAAAGGACAUCCAAGCAGGGCUGACUUGGGCGACGCAAGCUGGCAAACGUUGCACAUACCUCGGUACGUAGCCGCUAAGACAACCGAACCCCAACUCCUCUAUGUGAUGUCGUCAGCACAAGUUGCAUUCGCGAUCUCCACUGCAAUAGGGAUGUAGCGUGCGCUAAUGGUGGUGACGUGGUUCACGGUGAACAUCACCUUCCCGAGAAGCCACAUGAUAUAUGCCUCAAGGCUCCGAGUGAUCUGAGGCUCAGUCAUUUGGGUCUCUGGAUACCCAAACUUCUGAAUCUGCAUGCAACAAAAACAAAGUGUUAGUAAACCCAUGCAAGGAUUUGGCCGGAUUGUCCGUCCUAGUGAGGGACCAUGCCUAGCGAGUCCAUUCAAGCGGUCUUGUCGUGUUUCGCUUCGAUGAGUAGCUUUGUUUGGUGUGCUCAUUCUACUACCUCAAAUGGACACGUUCCGGAAGAAAGUUUAGCACCGAUUUGGCCGGAUUGUUCGUCGUAGUGAGGGCCCAUGCCUAGUGAGUACCUACAAGUGGUCUAGUCUGGUUUAUCUUUGAUGCGUAGCUUUGUUUUGUGUGCUCAUCCUAGUAGGUCAAAUGGACACGUUACGGAUCAAAGUUUAGCACCGACUCCGAUUUGGCCGGAUUGUCCGUCCUACUGAGGGACCAUGCCUAGCGAGUCCCUUCAAGCGGUCUUGUCGUGUUUCGCUUCGAUGAGUAGGUUUGUUUGAUGUGCUCAUCAUAGUACCUCAAAUGGACACGUUACGGAUAAAAGUUUAGCACCGACUCCGAUUUGGCCGGAUUGUCCCUCCUAGUGAGGGACCAUGCCUAGCGAGUCCGUACAAGCGGUCGCGUCAUGUUUCUCUUUGAUGAGUAGCUUUGUUUGGUGUGCUCAUCUUAUAACGCCAAACGGACCUGUUCCGGAUCAAAGUCUAGCAACGACUCCGAUUUUGCCGGAUUGUCCGUCCUAGUGAGGGACCAUGCCUAGCGAGUCCCUACAAGUGGGCUAGUCUUGUUUCUCUUUGAUGAGCAGCUUUGUUUGGUGUCUCAUCCUAGUACCUCAAAUGGACACGUUCUGGAUCAAAGUUUAGCACCGGCUCCGAUUUGGCCGGAUUGUCCGUCCUAGUGAGGGACCAUGCCUAGCGAGUCCGUACAAGCGGUCUAGUCUUGUUUUGCUUCAAUGAGGAGCUUUGUUUGGUGUGCUCAUCCUAGUACCUCAAAUGGACAUGUUCCGGAAGAAAGUUUAGCACCGAUUUGGCCGGAUUGUUCGUCGUAGUGAGGGCCCAUGCCUAGCGUGUACAUACAAGUGGUCUAGUCUGAUUUCUCUUUGAUGCGUAGCUUUGUUUUGUGUGCUCAUCCUAGUAGGUCAAAUGGACACGUUACGGAUCAAAGUUUAGCACCGACUCCGAUUUGGCCGGAUUGUCCGUCCUAGUGAGGGACCACGCCUAGCGAGUCCCUUCAAGCGGUCUAGUCUUGUUUCUCUUUGAUGAGUAGCUUUGUUUGGUGUGCUCAUCCUACUACCUCAAAUGGACACGUUACGGAUCAAACUUUAGCACCGACUCCGAUUUGGCCGGAUUGUCCAUCCUAGUGAGGGACCAUCCCUACCGAGUCCAUACAAGCAGUCUAGUCUUGUUUCGCUUUGAUGAGUAGCUUUGUUUGGUGUGCUCAUCCUAGUACCUCAAAUGGACACGUUACGGAUCAAAGUUUAGCACCGACUCCGAUUUGGCCGGAUUGUCCGUCCUAGUGUGGGACCAUCCCUACCGAGUCCGUACAAGCGGUCUAGUCUUGUUUCGCUUCGAUGAGUAGCUUUGUUUGGUGUGCUCAUCCUAGUACCUCAACUGGACACGUUACGGACCAAAGUAUAGCACCGACUCCGAUUUGGCCGGAUUGUCCGUCCUAGUGAGGGACCACGCCUAGCGAGUCCCUUCAAGCGGUCUUGUCGUGUUUCGCUUCGAUGAGUAGGUUUGUUUGAUGUGCUCAUCCUAGUACCUCAAAGGGACACGUUACGGAUCAAACUUUAGCACCGACUCCGAUUUGGCCGGAUUGUCCGUCCUAAUGAGGCACCAUGCAUAGCGAGUCCGUACAAGGGGUCUCGUCUUGUUUCGCCUCGAUGAGUACCUUUGUUUGGUGUGCUCAUCCUAGUACCUCAACUGGACACGUUACGGAUCAAACUUUAGCACCGACUCCGAUUUGGCCGGAUUGUCCGUCCUAGUGAGGGACCAUGCAUAGCGAGUCCGUACAAGCGGUCUCGUCUUGUUUCGCUUCGAUGAGUAGCUUUGUUUGGUGUGCUCAUCUUAUAACGCCAAACGGACCCGUUCCGGAUCAAAGUUUAGCAACGACUCCGAUUUUGCCGGAUUGUCCGUCCUAGUGAGGGACCGGGCCUAGCGAGUCCGUACAAGCGGUCUAGUUGCGUUUCGCUUCGAUGAGUAGCUUGGUUUGGUGUGCUCAUCCUAGUGCCUCAAAUAGACACGUUACGGAACAAAGUUUAGCACCGACUCUGAUUUGGCCGGAUUGUCCGUCCUAGUGAGGGACCAUGCCUCGCGAGUCCCUACGAGGGGUCUAGUCUUGUUUCUCUUUGAUGAGUAGCUUUGUUUGGUGUGCUCAUCCUAGUACCUCAAAUGGACACGUUACGGAUCAAAGAUUAGAACCGACUCCGAUUUGGCCGGAUUGUCCGUCCUAGUGAGGGACCAUGCCUAGCGAGUCCGUACAAGCGGUCUCGUCUUGUUUCGCUUCGAUGAGUAGUUUUGUUUGGUGUGCUCAUCCUAGUACCUCAAAUGGACAAGUUACGGAUCAAAGUUUAGCACCGACUCCGAUUUGGCCGGAUUGUAAGUCCUAGUGAGGGACCAUGCCUAGGGAGUCCGUACAAGCGGUCUUGUCGUGUUUCGCUUCGAUGUGUAGCUUUCUUUGGUGUGCUCAUCUUAUAACGCUAAACGGACCAGUUCCGGAUAAAAGUAGCACCGACUCCGAUUUGGCCGGAUUGUGCGUCCUAGUGAGGGACCAUGCUUUGCGAGUCCCUACAAGUGGUCUAGUCUUGUUUCUCUUUCGUGAGUAGCUUUGUUUGGUGUGCUCAUCCUAGUACCUCAAAUAGACACGUUACGGAUCAAAGAUUAGCACCGACUCCGAUUUGGCCGGAUUGUCUAUCCUAGUGAGGGACCAUGCCUAGCCAGUCCGUACAAGCGGUCCAGUAUUGUUUCGCUUCGAUGAGUAGUUUUGUUUGGUGUGCUGAUCCUAGUACCUCAAAUGGACACGUUACGGAUCAAAGUUUAGCACCGGUUCCGAUUUGGCCGGAUUGUAAGUCCUAGUGAGGGACCAUGCCUAGCGAGUCAGUACAAGCAGUCUUGUCGUGUUUCACUUCGAUGAGUAGCUUUCUUGGGUCUGCUCAUCUUAUAACUCUAAACGGACCCGUUGCGGAUCAAACUUUAGCACCGAGUCCGAUUUUGCCGGAUUGUCCGUCCUAGUGAGGGACCAUGCCUAGCAAGUCCGUACAAGCGGUCUUGUCGUGUUUAGCUUCGAUGAGUACCUUUCUUUGGUGUGCUCAUCCUAGUACCUCAAAUGGACACGUUCCGGAACAAAGUUUAGCACCGACUCCGAUUUGGCCGGAUUGUUCGUCCUCUUGAGGGACCAUGCCUAGCGAGUCCGUACAAGCGGUCUACUCUUCUUUCGCUUCGAUGAGUAGCUUUGUUUGGUGUGCUCAUCCUAGUACCUCAAAUGGACACGUUACGGAUCAAAGUUUAGCACCGACUCCGAUUUGGCCGGAUUGUCCGUCCUGGUGAGGGACCAUGCUUCGCGAGUCCCUGCAAGUGGUCUAGUCUUGUUUCUCUUGCAUGAGUAGCUUUGUUUGGUGUGCUCAUCCUAGUACCUCAAAUAGACACGUUACGGAUUAAAGAUUAGCACCGACUCCGAUUUGGCCGGAUUGUCUAUCCUAGUGAGGGACCAUGCCUAGCCAGUGCGUACAAGCGGUCUAGUCUUGUUUCGCUUGGAUGAGUAGUUUUGUUUGGUGUGCGCAUCCUAGUAGCUCAAAUGGACACGUUACGGAUCAAAGUUUAGCACCGACUCCGAUUUGGCCGGAUUGUCCGUCCUCGUGAGGGACCAUGCCUAGCGAGUCCGUAUAAGUGGUCUAGUCUUGUUUCGCUUCGAGGAGUAGGUUUGUUUGGUGUGCUCAUCCUAGUACCUCAAAUGGACACGUUCCGGAACCAAGUUUAGCACCGACUCCGAUUUGGCCGUAUUGUUCGUCCUAGUGUGGGACCAUGCCUAGCGAGUACCUACACGUGGUCUAGUCUUGUUUCUCAUUGAUGACUAGCUUUGUUUGGUGUGCUUAGCCUAGUACCACAAAUGGACACGUUACGAAUCAAAGUUUAGCACCGACUCCGAUUUGGCCGGAUUGUCCGUUGUAAUGAGGGACCAUGCCUUGCGAGUCCGUACAAGCGUUCUAGUCUUGUUUCGCUUCGAGGAGUAGCUUUGUUUGGUGUGCUCAUCCUAAUACCUCAAAUGGACACGUUCCGAAACAAAGUUUAGCACCGACUCCGAUUUGGCCGGAUUGUUCGUCCUAGUGAGGGACCCUGCCUAUCGAGUCCCUACAAGCGGUCUAGUCUUGUUUCGCUUCGAUGAGUAGCUUUGUUUGGUGUGCUCAUCCAAGUACCUCAAAUGGACACGUUACGGAUCAAAGUUUAGCACCGACUCUGAUUUGGCCGGAUGGUCCGUCCUAUUGAGGGACCAUGCCAAGCGAGUCCGUACAAGCGUUCUAGUCUUGUUUCGCUACGAUGAGUAGCUUUGUUUGGUGUGCUCAUCUUAUAACGCAAAACGGACCCGUUCCGGAUCAAAGUUUAGCACCGACUCCGAUUUUGCCGGAUUGUCCGUCCUUGUGAGGGACCGGGCGUAGCGAGUCCGUACAAGCGGUCUAGUUGUGUUUCGCUUCGAUGAGUAGCUUUGUUUGGUGUGCUCAUCCUAGUACCUCAAAUGGACACGUUACGGAUCAAAGUUUAGCACCGACUCCGAUUUGGCCGGAUUCUCCGUCCUAGUGAGGGACCAUGCCUACCGAGUCGAUGCAACAGGUCUAGUCUUGUUUUGCUUCGAUGAGUAGCUUUGUUUCGUGUGCACAUCCUAGUACCUCAAAUGGACACGUUCCGGAUCAAAGUUUAGCACCGACUCUGAUUUGGCCGGAUUGUCCGUCCUAGUGAGGUACCAUGCCUAGCGAAUCCGUACAAGCGGUCUAGUCUUCUUUCGCUUCGAUGAGUAGCUUUGUUUGGUGUGCACAUCCUAGAACCUCAAAUGGACACGUUCCGGAUCAUCGUUUAGCACCGACUCCGAUGUGGCCGGAUUGUCCAUCCUAGUGAGGGACCAUGCCUAGCGAGUCCGUACAAGCGGUCUUGUCGUGUUUCGCUUCGAUGAGUAGCUUUCUUUGGUGUUCUCAUCUUAUAACGCCAAACGGACCCGUUCCGGAUCAAAGUUUAGCACUGACUCCGAUUUUGCCGGAUUGUCCGUCGUAAUGAGGGACCGUGCCUAGCGAGUCCGUUCAAGCGGUCUUGUCGUGUUUCGCUUCGAUGAGUAGCUUUCUUUGGUGUGCUCAUCUUAUAACGCUAAACGGACCAGUUCCGGAUAAAAGUUUAGCACCGACUCCGAUUUUUCCGGAUUGUCCGUCCUACUGAGGGACCAUGCCUAGCGAGUCCCUACAAGUGGUCUAGUCUUGUUUCUCUUUGAUGAGUAGAGGUGUUUGGUGUGCUCAUCCUCGUACCUCAAAUGGACACGUUACGGAUCAAAUUUUAGCACCCACUCCGAUUUGGCCGGAUUGUCCGUCCUAGUGAGGCACCAUGCCUAUCGAGUCCGUACAAGUGGUCUGGUCUUGUUUCGCUUCGAUGAGUAGCUUUGUUUGGUGUGCUCAUCCUAGUACCUCAAAUGGACACGUUCCGGAACAAACAUUAGCACCGACUCCGAUUUGGCCGGAUUGUUCGUCCUAGUGAGGGACCAUGCUUCGCGAGUCCCUACAAGUGGUCUAGUCUUGUUUCUCUUGCAUGAGUAGCUUUGUUUGGUGUGCUCAUCCUAGUACCUCAAUGAUAUGGACAUGCUAACCAUGGAUACGACCUUUGGUGCCCUCAAUUCUAUAAUAUUUGACAAGAUUUAUAAUCAGGUGAAUUCAAGUAGUAAUUGUUUUCAUUGUCAUAUUUAUGAAGAGGCGGAGCUACUACUAUCUUGUCUCGUUUUAUUACGUAGGCAUCUUGUCGAGCUUUUCAAGUCCAAGGUGAAGAUGAGAUACGAUGAAGGCGAACGGGAGGGCCAACAAGAAUCAAGCAUUCAUACAGCUGAGAGGGAAGGAUUUCAAGUGUACUUUGCAACAAAUCAAACGGCACAUGAUUCGGAGCUUGCUAGAGAAAGAUAUCACGAAUUAAAGUUGAAUCCGAUUCGGGUCCGAACUGCCAGGAGACCCGAAUUUGUUUUAAUCACCCAGGCCGCAUCCGGAGUCCAAAUCAAGCAAACAAGUACUUGUUGGAAAGGUAAUUACAAGACCUUUCCAACGGAUCUGGCCCCAUCAAGAGAUUCGACUCGUGCUGACGGUGGCGGACAAAACAAGCUGACGGAUCUGUUUUUUUGUUUCCUAAAGAGUUGUAGUUUGUUAGGAAAGUUAGAGAUAGAGUUGGAUUUCGGACUCCUUAUUCAAGGUGGACGAAAAUAUCUCUCCCUCCUCCUUUAUAUACCCCAUGAGCCCCCCUAAGGAGCCUUGGGUUUUGAUUAGAUAAAGUUUAGCCAUCUUUGCUACUUUCGUGUAAUCGCGUGUGUCGGUUAGACCACCUGUUUUACCGUCGUCAAGACUCCAACUUAUCGUCUCGUUUAGACAUUGGUUUGAUAUAGUAUAUUCGCAAUUUUAGAUUGCAUCUGCUAUUUAUCUUGUUCUUGCUUGUUCUUCGAUUGCUUGCAGGAACAAAGACCUUCGUGGUCAGGUUGAUCGUGCCCCCGCGUGAUCAAUAACCCUUUGGAGUUGGUGUAUCGAUUGCUAAGGCGCUGCCUCCUAGGCCGUAGUCGGAUCGUCAACGUCACCUCCUACCCAAAUCGAGAGUUACCAAUCUCAUCGAAAGAUCGGGCCACCCGCACCCGUAUCACGUGGUAUCAGAGCUUAAGGUUGCUCGGUGAGAUUUUUCCAGUUUAUCCGUAGUUUAGAUCUGUUUUUUACCUAUCGUCCAGAAAAAGCCAAACAAAAAUUAGAAUUAGUUACCUUGUCCUAGAACCAAUCUGAGCCUUGCAAUUUUCACAUUAGUAUUUGCAUUGUUGAAUCUUUGCUGCAUUAAUCGUGUCGAGUUGCUGGAUUAGAUUGGAUCGUUUUUCAGAUUUUUUCUACUAGAUCGAACUUGCUUUUGGUUUUCUUGUUCUUCGUGUGACGCAGGUUUCCUUCAUCAAUCUUCCGCCGCCAAACUUCCUGCCACACCACCACCAUAAUCUCCCGCCACCACCAUAUCUUCCACCGAGUCUCUCUUCGAGUCCUACACCGAGUCCCUCUUGGAGUCCUACACCGAGUCCCUCAUCGAGUCCUACACCGAGUCCCUCAUCGAGUCCUACACCGGGUCCCUCGUCGAGUCCUACACGGUGUCCUACAUCGAGUUCUACAUUGAGUCGGCAAGUAAUAGUUUUCAGCCGCAAGUUCGAGUCCGAGUCCAAUAAGGAGUGCUUUUGGAAAGUUUUCAUAAUAGAUCGAAUUUUGUUUAGAGAUCAAGUUGUUCGGAAAGUUGUCAAAAAAAAAAGAAAGGAAAGAAAAAAAAAAGGAAAGAAAGAAAAAAAAAAGGAAAAAAAAAAGAUAAAGAGUUCGAGUCAGUUUCGGACCCGAGUCCGAGUAGAAUUUUAGUUUCGGAUGGGUUUGACUCGUGUUCAGUAAAACGGGCGUAUAUUUUGCAUACCAACUC